GUCUAAAAGAAAAAAGAUGCUGGAGAAUCAGCUGGUUGAGAUCACUGAACGACCCUCAAUUGGCAUUGUUGAACUUAAGAAAGCCUUGUCUGCUUUGCUCAAGCUUGGUAGAGGUUCUUUGGCACAUCAGCUACUUGUUAAUUCGUACAGAUCUCGUCUUCGGAAAAGUAUUGAGGCUUUCCUUCCCCUUUGUCCUUGUUAUCCCGAGACUUAUUCAGCCACAUUGUCUAACCUUGUAUUCUCUACCAUUUCUUUGGCUACUAAGGAAUCUGGUGCAAUGUUUGGUGACAAUCCUGUUUAUAGCAACAGAAUUAUCCAGUGGGCAGAAAGGGAGAUUGAAUACUUUGUGCGGUUAGUUAAAGAACAUGCACCACCUUCUGAUGGAGCUCCUGCUUUACAUGCAGCAAGUGUUUGUGUUCAAGCCAGUCUUAACCACUGUAAUGCCCUGGAGAAACAGGGCCUUAAACUGUCAAAAUUACUCUUGGUGCUUUUGCACCCAUAUAUGGAAGAAGUCCUCGAGUUGAACUAUAUACGAGCCAGGAAAGCGGUUCUUGAUUUUGCUUCAAGUGAUGAAGGGAAACCAUUGUCACCUCGGUUUGCGUCUCCUUUAUCUACAUUUGCAACUACAUCUGAUACUCUGCUUGUUGAAAGUGGAAUGAGAUUCAUAUAUAUAGUCAAAGAAAUAGUGGAGAAGCUCACCCAGUUAGUCAUUCUACAUUUUGGAGCUAACAUAUUGACCAGAAUUUCACAUCUUUUUGACAAGUAUGUGGAUUCUUUGAUUAAAGCCCUGCCUGGUCUUUCUGAGGAUGAUAAUCUCACUGAGCUGAAAGAACCUGUUCCUUUUAGAGCUGAAACAGACUCUCAGCAGCUUGCACUAUUGGGAACUGCAUUUACCAUUGCUGAGGAACUAUUGCCUAUGGUUGUAUCUAGAAUUUGGAAUGUUCUUAAUGAAAGCAAGGAAGUGGGGUCUGAAAAUGUGAUGCCUGCCGCAAACAAUACCGUAGAACUCAAGGACUGGAGGCGUCAACUUCAGCAUUCACUGGACAAACUUAGAGAUAAUUUCUGUCGACAAUAUGUUGUUAAUUUCAUAUAUUCAAGAGAUGGUGAUGCACGAUUAGAUGCUCAGAUUUAUUUGAGUGGUGUCGGACAAGAUACAAUUUGGGACGCUGAUCCGCUACCUUCAUUGCCAUUUCAGGCAUUAUUUGGUAAGCUGCAGCAAUUAGCAACUGUGGCAGGAGAUGUUCUUCUCGGAAGAGAGAAGAUACAGAAGGUUUUGCUUGCCAGACUGACAGAGACUGUGGUAAUGUGGUUGUCUGAUGAACA
rnacentral:misc_RNA from 1 species